ACCUCAUUGGAUGCAGAGACUGCAGAAUCUGUACAUUUGGAUGAAUGGCGAGCAGUACGUUCCCAGCAAGACGAAGAAUAUAAUGCUUCCUUGUUGGCAGACCAAGAAAAGGACAGGAGGAGGCACUGCUAUGAGGUUUUGGAAGAAAGGCUGACAAAGGUUGGUGCUGCCACUCAAUUUUUUUUUAUUUAAAGUGUUUUUCUAAUGU